GACGAACGCUGGCGGCGUGCUUAACACAUGCAAGUCGAGCGGUAAGGCCCUUUCGGGGGUACACGAGCGGCGAACGGGUGAGUAACACGUGGGUGACCUGCCCUCAGCUCUGGGAUAAGCCCGGGAAACUGGGUCUAAUACCGGAUAUGACUUCAUGACGCAUGUUGUGGAGUGGAAAGCCUUGUGCGGCUGAGGAUGGGCCCGCGGCCUAUCAGCUUGUUGGUGGGGUGANGGCCUACCAAGGCGACGACGGGUAGCCGGCCUGAGAGGGCGACCGGCCACACUGGGACUGAGAUACGGCCCAGACUCCUACGGGAGGCAGCAGUGGGGAAUCUUGCGCAAUGGGCGAAAGCCUGACGCAGCGACGCCGCGUGAGGGAU
rnacentral:rRNA from 1 species